CUGAAAUGCUCAGGGUCUAACUGAUCACCAGAUUUGGGAUCAGGAAAGAAUUUUCCAUUGGCAGACUGGCAGACACCCUUGCAACUUUAAACUUGUGUAAAUGGUGGAUUCUCUGUAACUUGAAGUCUUGAAACCAUUAUUUGAGGACUUCAUUAACUAUUUCAGGACUGGGU